rnacentral:rRNA from 1 species
GACGAACGCUGGCGGCGUGCUUAACACAUGCAAGUCGAACGAAGUGGCGAACGGGUGAGUAACGCGUAAUCAACCUGCCCUUCAGAGGGGGACAACAGUUGGAAACGACUGCUAAUACCGCAUACUGAAGGAGGGGAUUGCGGCGGAUUAGCUAGUUGGAGGGGUAACGGCCCACCAAGGCGAGGAUCCGUAGGCGGGUCGGAGGGAUGAACGGCCACAUUGGGACUGGGACACCGCCCAGGCUCCUACGGGAGGCAGCAAUGGGGAAUCUUCCGAAAAGGGCGGAAGUCUGACGGAGGACCGCCGCGUGAGUGAUGACGGCCUUUGGGUUGUAAAGCUCUGUUAAUCGGGACGCGGUACCGGAAUAGAAAGCCACGGCUAACUACGUGCCAGCAGCCGCGGUAAUAC